UCUUGGUUGGCUCAGUCAGUGGAGCAUGUGACUUUUGAUCUCGGGUUUGUAAGUUUGAACCCUACAUUGGGUA
rnacentral:tRNA from 1 species